rnacentral:rRNA from 1 species
CCUACGGGAGGCAGCAGUAGGGAAUAUUGCUCAAUGGGGGAAACCCUGAAGCAGCAACGCCGCGUGGAGGAUGAAGGUUUUCGGAUUGUAAACUCCUUUUGUUAGAGAAGAUAAUGACGGUAUCUAACGAAUAAGCACCGGCUAACUCCGUGCCAGCAGCCGCGGUAAUACGGAGGGUGCAAGCGUUACUCGGAAUCACUGGGCGUAAAGAGGGCGUAGGCGGGUUAGCAAGUCAGAUGUGAAAUCCUAUGGCUUAACCAUAGAACUGCAUUUGAAACUGUUAUUCUUGAGUAUAGGAGAGGUAGGUGGAAUUCUUGGUGUAGGGGUAAAAUCCGUAGAGAUCAAGAGGAAUACUCAUUGCGAAGGCGACCUGCUAGAACAUAACUGACGCUGAUGCGCGAAAGCGUGGGGAGCAAACAGGAUUAGAUACCCGAGUAGUC